rnacentral:rRNA from 1 species
UACGGAAGGCAGCAGUGGGGAAUAUUGCACAAUGGGCGAAAGCCUGAUGCAGCUAUGCCGCGUGUAUGAAGAAGGCCUUAGGGUUGUAAAGUACUUUCAUCGGGGAGGAAAAAACAAAACUAAUAAUUUUAUUUCUUGACGUUACCCGAAAAAGAAGCACCGGCUAACUCCGUGCCAGCAGCCGCGGUAAUACGGAGGGUGCUAGCGUUAAUCAGAAUUACUGGGCGUAAAGAGCACGUAGGUGGUUUUUUUAAGUCAGAUGUGAAAUCCCCUGGGCUUAACCUGGAACUGCAUUUUGAAACUGAAAUACUAGAGUAUCGUAGAGGGAGGUAGAAUUCUAGGUGUAGCGGUGAAAUGCGUAGAUAUCUGGAGGAAUACCUGUGGCGAAAGCGGCCUCCUAAACGAAUACUGACACUGAGGUGCGAAAGCGUGGGGAGCAAACAGGGAUUAGAUACC